CCUACGGGUGGCAGCAGUAGGGAAUAUUGCUCAAUGGGGGAAACCCUGAAGCAGCAACGCCGCGUGGAGGAUGAAGGUUUUCGGAUUGUAAACUCCUUUUGUUAGAGAAGAUAAUGACGGUAUCUAACGAAUAAGCACCGGCUAACUCCGUGCCAGCCGCCGCGGUAAUACGGAGGGUUCAAGCGUUACUCGGUAUCACUGGGCGUAAAGAGCGCGUAGGCGGGAUAGCAAGUCAGAUGUGAAAUCCUAGGGCUUAACCAUAGAACUGCAUUUGAACAUGUUAUUCUAGAGUAUGGGAGAGGUAGGUGGAAUUCUUGGUGUAGGGGUAAAAUCCGUAGAGAUCAAGAGGAAUACUCAUUGCGAAGGCGACCUGCUAGAACAUAACUGACGCUGAUGCGCGAAAGCGUGGGGAGCAAACAGGAUUAGAUACCCGAGUAGUC
rnacentral:rRNA from 1 species